CCUUUUAUAAUCCAAAUUUUGCGAGAAAGGACCUUAUAUAAUUUUUUUUGUGAAAUCACACCUUAAUGUAAAUUUUUUUGCGAGAAAGGACCUUAUAUAAUUUUUUUUGGUGAAAUCACACCUUAAUGUACUUUUUUUUUGCGAAAGACAACCAAAAGUAAAUUUUCGGCAUUGACUGAGCUUUUCCGGCCAUUGACUUGCACGUGAGAAGCACGUGUGGCUUUAUUUUGCUAAUUACACCCAAUUUUUCCUCCAAAAUUCUAAGAUUUAAAACCUAAAGUUGAAAAAAAAGUCGAAAUAAAAUCAAGUUUGAAAAUUCAAGACUCGGGAAAAUCAAUGUCUUUAGCCAACGUAAGCCACGCGUGCUGCUCACGUGCAAGCCAAUGGCCGGAAAGCUCAGUCAAUGCCGGAAAAUUUCCUUAGGUCCUUUCUCGCAAAAAAAAUUACUUAAAGGUGUGUUUUCACAAAAAAAAUUAUAUAAGGUCCUUUCUCGCAAAAUUUGUGUUAUAAAAGGUCUUUUUUGGCAAAUUUGCCAUUAAACAAAUACAACUAACAUCCAACAAAUGAGAAGAGUCCAAAAUUUUUUACUCUUAAUAGGCCUAAAUAAUAAGCCCAAACAUUCACACAAAACUCUAAUACUUCGUAGACUCAGCCCCCUACCUCUAACCCCCCUCAUUUCACAUUCUACUCUCAAACCCUAACUUUUUAUCUUCUCUCUUGGGCCUUACGCUCUCACUCUCACCCCGAUCGUCCGCCGCUUCAUGCACUUCGCCUCAAUCUCUCGGUGUCUCCUUUUCCUAUUCGAUCUCCUUCCAGGUUUCAUCAAAGACCAAGUCCUAUUGUCUUCAAUUUUAUGUUACUGAAGAGAGGAGUAGUUGGCUUUGUUUCAUGUCACAAGGUAAUUAUUGCAAGAUGGUAUACCUAUCAUCAUCACGGCUUAUGUGCGGAUUUUGAUUUGAAGUUUCUCAUAUUUACCAAGUGGUUUCACGAAGGAUGUGGUAGCCUCUCCAAACUUAGAGGGGAGAAGCUGUAAUUCUUUAAAACAGAUAGUGAAUCUUCCUAUAAGAAGAUACUUGUAUUUUUUUGUAAUAUUAAUUUUUGUGAUUUAUACAGAUUGGUGUUUUUUGUUGGAAAGUUAUGUUGCUCUGCUAUUUUAUAUGUGAAAUUGUAAUUUUAUUAGCAUAAUAUUUUUUCAUUCGGAUUUGAACUUGUAACUUCAAAUUAACGUUUGUAAUUAAAAUGUAAUUACAUAGCAGUAAAAUAAUUUAUUUUAAAGGA